GUUAUUGUGGAUUUGGAAGAACGAUACACAAAAUCCCUUACAUCAAAGGUUUUGUUAUCAAGAAAAAAUAUGGCCAUGAUGCCACCAAUGUUGGUGAUGAAGUCGUUGAGUAUGCAGCCGUGGAAGAUUUAUUCUCUUGGUUUGAAGAUGAAAUAUUCCAUAUCUUGGCUUGCCAUCCAAGAUUGCGAUUGUUGCUGUAUGAAUAGUUUAAAAUUUGAGCAA